rnacentral:rRNA from 1 species
GACGUAGGGUGCAAGCGUUAUCCGGAUUUACUGGGCGUAAAGAGCGCGUAGGCGGAUCGUUAAGUGUGAAGUGAAAUCUUCGGGCUCAACCCGAAAACUGCUUCGCAUACUGGCGAUCUUGAGGGGCACAGAGGCAACUGGAAUUCCUGGUGAAGCGGUGAAAUGCGUAGAUAUCAGGAGGAACUCCCAUGGCGAAGGCAGGUUGCUGGGCUGACACUGACGCUGAGGCGCGAAAGCUAGGGGAGCAAACAGG